rnacentral:rRNA from 1 species
UUGACUUGAGGAGGGUAGGGGAGAAUGGAAUUCCUGGUGGAGCGGUGGAAUGCGCAGAUAUCAGGAGGAACACCAGUGGCGAAGGCGGUUCUCUGGGCCUUUCCUGACGCUGAGGAGCGAAAGCGUGGGGAGCGAACAGGCUUAGAUACCCUGGUAGUCCACGCUGUAAACGGUGGGUACUAGGUGUGGGGUCCAUUCCACGGGUUCCGUGCCGUAGCUAACGCUUUAAGUACCCCGCCUGGGGAGUACGGCCGCAAGGCUAAAACUCAAAGGAAUUGACGGGGCCCCGCACAAGCGGCGGAGCAUGCGGAUUAAUUCGAUGCAACGCGUAGAACCUUACCUGGGUUUGACAUGGAUCGGGAGUGCUCAGAGAUGGGUGUGCCUCUUUUGGGGUCGGUUCACAGGUGGUGCAUGGCUGUCGUCAGCUCGUGUCGUGAGAUGUUGGGUUAAGUCCCGCAACGAGCGCAACCCUUGUUCACUGUUGCCAGCACGUUAUGGUGGGGACUCAGUGGAGACCGCCGGGGUCAACUCGGAGGAAGGUGGGGAUGACGUCAAGUCAUCAUGCCCCUUAUGUCCAGGGCUUCACGCAUGCUACAAUGGCUGGUACAGAGAGUGGCGAGCCUGUGAGGGUGAGCGAAUCUCGGAAAGCCGGUCUCAGUUCGGAUUGGGGUCUGCAACUCGACCUCAUGAAGUCGGAGUCGCUAGUAAUCGCAGAUCAGCAACGCUGCGGUGAAUACGUUCCCGGGGCUUGUACACACCGCCCGUCAAGUCAUGAAAGUUGGUAACACCCGAAGCCGGUGGCCUAACCGUUGUGGGGGAGCCGUCGAAGGUGGGACUGGU